GCAGAACGCGAAGAACCUUACCUGGCCUUGACAUCCUAGGAAUCCCGAAGAGAUUUGGGAGUGCCGCAAGGAACCUAGAGACAGGUGCUGCAUGGCUGUCGUCAGCUCGUGUCGUGAGAUGUUGGGUUAAGUCCCGCAACGAGCGCAACCCUUGUCCUUAGUUGCCAUCAUUCAGUUGGGAACUCUAAGGAGACCGCCGGUGACAAACCGGAGGAAGGUGGGGAUGACGUCAAGUCAUCAUGGCCUUUAUGGCCAGGGCUUCACACGUAAUACAAUGGUCGGUACAGAGAGUUGCCAAGCCGCGAGGUGGAGCUAAUCUCAGAAAGCCGAUCGUAGUCCGGAUUGUUCUCUGCAACUCGAGAACAUGAAGUCGGAAUCGCUAGUAAUCGCGGAUCAGCAUGUCGCGGUGAAUACGUUCCCGGGUCUUGUACACACCG
rnacentral:rRNA from 1 species